GACGAACGCUGGCGGCGUGCCUAAUACAUGCAAGUCGAGCGAGCUUGCCUAGAUGAAUUUGGUGCUUGCACCAAAUGAAACUAGAUACAAGCGAGCGGCGGACGGGUGAGUAACACGUGGGUAACCUGCCCAAGAGACUGGGAUAACACCUGGAAACAGAUGCUAAUACCGGAUAACAACACUAGACGCAUGUCUAGAGUUUAAAAGAUGGUUCUGCUAUCACUCUUGGAUGGACCUGCGGUGCAUUAGCUAGUUGGUAAGGUAACGGCUUACCAAGGCAAUGAUGCAUAGCCGAGUUGAGAGACUGAUCGGCCACAUUGGGACUGAGACACGGCCCAAACUCCUACGGGAGGCAGCAGUAGGGAAUCUUCCACAAUGGACGCAAGUCUGAUGGAGCAACGCCGCGUGAGUGAAGAAGGGUUUCGGCUCGUAAAGCUCUGUUGGUAGUGAAGAAAGAUAGAGGUAGUAUUC
rnacentral:rRNA from 1 species